rfam:Triticum aestivum genome assembly, contig: Triticum_aestivum_CS42_TGACv1_scaffold_141288_2BL
UUAGUACUCCCUCCGUCCGAAAAUACUUGUCAUCAAAACGAAUAAACGAGGAUGUAUCUAGAUGUAUAUUAGUUCUAGAUACAUCCCUUUUUGUCUAUUUUGAUGACAAAUAUUUUCGGACGGAGGGAGUAUCUU